rnacentral:rRNA from 1 species
AUUGAACGCUGGCGGCAUGCCUUACACAUGCAAGUCGAACGGUAACGGGCCUUCGGGUGCCGACGAGUGGCGAACGGGUGCGUAAUACAUCGGAACGUGCCCGAUCGUGGGGGAUAACGAGGCGAAAGCUUUGCUAAUACCGCAUACGAUCUACGGAUGAAAGCAGGGGACCGCAAGGCCUUGCGCGGACGGAGCGGCCGAUGGCAGAUUAGGUAGUUGGUGGGAUAAAAGCUUACCAAGCCGACGAUCUGUAGCUGGUCUGAGAGGAUGAUCAGCCACACUGGGACUGAGACACGGCCCAGACUCCUACGGGAGGCAGCAGUGGGGAAUUUUGGACAAUGGGCGCAAGCCUGAUCCAGCCAUGCCGCGUGCAGGAUGAAGGCCCUCGGGUUGUAAACUGCUUUUGUACGGAACGAAAAGCCUUCUUUUAAUACAGGAGGGUCAUGACGGUACCGUAAGAAUAAGCACCGGCUAACUACGUG